rnacentral:tRNA from 1 species
GCCCUGUCGGUCCAGUCAGGAGUGGACGCCGGAUUGUCAAUCCGGAGAUCGCCGGUUCGAGUCCGGUACGGGGCG